CAGUCGCCGCGGGAAUACAGAGGGUGCGAGCGUUAAUCGGAUUUACUGGGCGUAAAGCGUGCGUAGGCGGCUUCUUAAGUCGGAUGUGAAAUCCCUGAGCUUAACUUAGGAAUUGCAUUCGAUACUGGGAAGCUAGAGUAUGGGAGAGGAUGGUAGAAUUCCAGGUGUAGCGGUGAAAUGCGUAGAGAUCUGGAGGAAUACCGAUGGCGAAGGCAGCCAUCUGGCCUAAUACUGACGCUGAGGUACGAAAGCAUGGGGAGCAAACAGGAUUAGAUACCCAGUAGUCCCUGUCUCUUAUACA
rnacentral:rRNA from 1 species